CGUCUUAGUUGCUAACAGUUCGGCUGAGCACUCUAGGGAGGACUGCCUUCGCAAGGAGGAGGAAGGUGAGGACGACGUCAAGUCAUCAUGGCCCUUACGGCCAGGGCUACACACGUGCUACAAUGGGGCGUACAGAGAGCUGCGAUACCGCGAGGUGGAGCCAAUCUCUUAAAGCGUCUCUCAGUUCGGAUUGUUCUCUGCAACUCGAGAACAUGAAGCUGGAAUCACUAGUAAUCGCAGAUCAGCUAUGCUGCGGUGAAUACGUUCCCGGGUCUU
rnacentral:rRNA from 1 species